CGGAAUGCGUUUACACAUGCAAGUCGAGCGGCGAGCGCGGGCUUCGGGCCGUGGGCGGCGAGCGGCGAACGGGUGAGUAAUACGAUCGGAACGUGCCCAGGGUGUGGGGGAUAGCUCGGCGAAAGCCGAAUUAAUACCGCAUACGAUCUCCGGAUGAAAGUGGGGACCGCAAGGCCUCACGCACUUGGAGCGGCCGAUGGCAGAUUAGGUUGUUGGUGGGGUAAAGGCCUACCAAGCCUGCGAUCUGUAGCUGGUCUGAGAGGAUGAUCAGCCACACUGGGACUGAGACACGGCCCAGACUCCUACGGGAGGCAGCAGUGGGGAAUUUUGGACAAUGGGCGCAAGCCUGAUCCAGCCAUUCCGCGUGCAGGACGAAGGCCCCCGGGUUGUAAACUGCUUUUGUACAGAACGAAAAGGCUUCGGCCAAUACCUGAAGCUCAUGACGGUACUGUAAGAAUAAGCACCGGCUAACUACGUGCC
rnacentral:rRNA from 1 species